GAUGAACGCUGGCGGCGUGCCUAAUACAUGCAAGUCGAACGCUGGAACUCUAGCUUGCUAGAUUGAAGGAGUGGCGAACGGGUGAGUAAUACAUAAGCAACCUACCCACGAAGACUGGGAUAAUCUCUGGAAACGGGGACUAAUACCGGAUAGGUAAUCGGAAGGCAUCUUCUGAUUAUUAAAGGUUAAAAACACUGGUGGAUGGGCUUAUGGCGCAUUAGUUAGUUGGUGAGGUAACGGCCCACCAAGACGAUGAUGCGUAGCCGGCCUGAGAGGGUGAACGGCCAGAGUGGGACUGGGACACGGCCCAGACGCCUACGGGAGGCAGCAGUACGGAAGUCUCGGGAAUGGGGGAAAGCCUGACCGAGCAACGCCGCGUGAGUGAUGACGGCCUGCGGGUUGUAAAGCUCUGUUGUAAGGGAAGAACGGUAGAUAGAGAAUAUCUAAAUGACGGUACCUUACCAGAAAGCAACGGCUAACUACGUG
rnacentral:rRNA from 1 species